rnacentral:rRNA from 1 species
GCAGCAGUGGGGAAUAUUGCGCAAUGGGCGGAAGCCUGACGCAGCGACGCCGCGUGGGGGAUGACGGCCUUCGGGUUGUAAACCUCUUUCGGCCUUGACGAAGCUCUUCGGGGUGACGGUAGGGGUAGAAGAAGCACCGGCCAACUACGUGCCAGCAGCCGCGGUAAUACGUAGGGUGCGAGCGUUGUCCGGAAUUAUUGGGCGUAAAGAGCUCGUAGGCGGUCUGUCGCGUCGGUCGUGAAAACUUGGGGCUUAACCCUGAGCUUGCGGUCGAUACGGGCAUGACUGGAGUUCGGCAGGGGAGACUGGAAUUCCUGGUGUAGCGGUGAAAUGCGCAGAUAUCAGGAGGAACACCGGUGGCGAAGGCGGGUCUCUGGGCCGAUACUGACGCUGAGGAGCGAAAGCGUGGGGAGCGAACAGGAUUAGAUACCCUGGUAGUCCACGCCGUAAACGGUGGGCGCUAGGUGUGGGGGCCAUUCCACGGUCUCUGUGCCGCAGCUAACGCAUUAAGCGCCCCGCCUGGGGAGUACGGCCGCAAGGCUAAAACUCAAAGGAAUUGACGGGGGCCCGCACAAGCGGCGGAGCAUGUGGAUUAAUUCGAUGCAACGCGAAGAACCUUACCUGGGUUUGACAUGCACCAGACGCGGUCAGAGAUGGCUGUUCCCUUGUGGUUGGUGUGCAGGUGGUGCAUGGCUGUCGUCAGCUCGUGUCGUGAGACGUUGGGUUAAGUCCCGCAACGAGCGCAACCCUCGUUCCAUGUUGCCAGCGCGUUGUGGCGGGGACUCAUGGGAGACUGCCGGGGUCAACUCGGAGAAAGGUGGGGAUGACGUCAAGUCAUCAUGCCCCUUAUGUCCAGGGCUUCACACAUGCUACAAUGGCCUAUACAGAGGGCUGCGAGGCCGCAAGGUGGAGCGAAUCCCUUAAAGUAGGUCUCAGUUCGGAUCGGGGUCUGCAACUCGACCCCGUGAAGUUGGAGUCGCUAGU